AUGGUCGUUGUCGCCGCGGACGUCGUCGACGCAGCCCCGCGUCGGGGAGAGCAGCAGAAGCCUAGAGGUGGUUGUCGUCGCUGCUCAUGGCUGCCGGCAAAGGCCACUCCGCCUCUCCCGCCACCCACUCCGCCUCGCCGCCGAGGUUGUCGCCAUCACACGGGUGGGGUGCGGCCGCGUCGCUGGGGUUGA
rnacentral:rRNA from 1 species